GCCUAUUCCCUUUCCCCUUUCCAUCCCCUCCUCCACUGCAGCUGCCCUGCUGCCCCCUCCUCGGCGAGGCGCCUCACGAGCGCCGCGAGGUCAGCGCGGGAGCCGCGCCCGCACGAGCGCCGCGAGGGAGGUGGCCAAUACGGCGAGGCGCCGCGCCCGCACGAGCGCCGUGAGAUCAAAGUGCAGCAGCGGCCAAUACGGCGAGGCGCAGCGACUGCACGGGCUCCGCGAGGUCCAGGGGCGGAAGCAGCCAAUACGGCGAGCGGUGCCUGUCAGGCACCAUACGGCCUCCGCGGCGUGCUCGACCUAGCUCCUACGCCUCCUACCCGGGCUGGACCUCCCCCCGUGCGUCGUCCCCACCCGCAUCACCAAGCUCCCCAACGGUGUCCGCGAGUCGGCGUCGCCUCCGAGGAUUUCCAGGGAGCAGCACAGGGAUGGCGAUUUUGGCAGCUCUGCUCUGAUGAUGCCGUCGGAGCACAGCUUGCUCGUUUUCAGCAUGAGGAAGAAGAUGAUUUGAUAGGGAGCAGCACAUCUUGCUUGUUUUGUUUCUCUGUAGCAAGUUAUUCUAUAAAUACUGAACACUAUGCAAGGAAAUCAGCAGCUGCCAUUGUUCAAGAAUGUACUAAUUCUCUGAACAUUGUUUUGUUUUUCUGUAGCAAAUUAUUUCUAUGAAUUCUGAACAUUUGCAAAGAAAUCAGUAGCUUUCAUUGUUAAGAGAAUGAGCUAAUUCUCUGAAAAUCUUUUUUGUUUUUAGCAUGAGGAAGAAGAUGAUUUGACAGGGAGCAGC
rnacentral:rRNA from 1 species